GACGAACGCUGGCGGCGUGCUUAACACAUGCAAGUCGAACGGGCCUUGUCUCCUUUUUUUUUGUGGGCGGGGUUAGUGGCGAACGGGAGCGUAACACGUGAGUAACCUUCCCCUCACUUUUGCUUAACCGCUCUAAGGGUUGUACAAUAUGGGAUCUCCUGCUCCGUUGGCGUGGUUGGGUUGGGACGGCUGUGAGGGAUUUUGUUGCGUCUGGUGGGGUUUGGGGUCGCGGCCUGUCAUCGCGUUGGUGGGGUGGGGGCCUGCCCAGGCGUUGUCGGGUAGCAAGGCUGAGAGGGUGGGCGGGCACACGGGGACUGAGACACGGACCAGGCUCCUACGGGAGGCAGCAGUGGGGAGUGUUGCAGAAGGGGCGCAAGCCUGAUGCAGCGACGCCGCGUGAGGGAUGGAGGCCGUCGGGUUGAGAACCUCUUUCGCCAGGGAAGAAGGUCCUGCUCGUUGUGGUGGGGUUGACGGUAGCUGGGUUAAUGAAGCGCCGGCUAACUACGUG
rnacentral:rRNA from 1 species